rnacentral:rRNA from 1 species
GCGAUCAUACCAGCACUAAUGCACUAGAUCCCAUCAGAACUCCAUUGUUAAGCGGGCUUGGGCGAGAGCAGUACUAGGUUGGGUGACCCCUUGGGAAGUACUCGUGUUGAACCU